rnacentral:rRNA from 1 species
UACGUAGGGGCCUAGCGUUGUCCGGAUUUAUUGGGCGUAAAGAGCUCGUAGGCGGUUUGGUAAGUCGGGUGUGAAAUCUCCACGCUCAACGUGGAGGGGCCACCCGAUACUGCCAUGACUGGAGUCCGGUAGGGGAGUGUGGAAUUCCCGGUGUAGCGGUGAAAUGCGCAGAUAUCGGGAGGAACACCGGUGGCGAAGGCGGCGACCUGGGUAGAUACUGACGCUGAGGUGCGAAAGCGUGGGGAGCAAACAGG